AAAAAAAGUGCCGGCAGACCUGUGUGCAAGUCAAACCGACUAUCUUGUGUGGCGCUGACGGCAUGCUGUACAGCGACUGUGAGCUGGAAGCCAAGCGCUGCAACGAGCCUGACUUCCAGGCUGACGAUAACCUGAAGGCAUGCCCAGGUCAUCAUCCAGAAGGCACGAGUCAAGAAAGGUUUGCCAGGAACCUUAAAAUGACCAGCGUGGAGCAAACUGGGAUGGGCAUGAAUGGAAAAGUUCUGGAAACAAACGAUGGGCCAGUAAUAAAACCAGAAAAUUAGGAACAUGAACACCAAGAUGAACCGCAAACUACUGAACAACUAGCUGGGUUUGCGAGGCCAACCAGCGCUGAAGGAGGAAGUGAGUGCCAAUGAUCUACAGCAGUACCACAACUCUCGCCACGACGGCAGUUAACUUCUUAACUCUUCUUUGUUCCUUUGCUUUCUUUUCCUCAGGAGUGCAAUUGUCAAGCAAAUAGACGAUCAGUAAGCAU